rnacentral:rRNA from 1 species
CCUACGGGUGGCUGCAGUGAGGAAUAUUGGUCAAUGGACGAGAGUCUGAACCAGCCAAGUAGCGUGAAGGAUGACUGCCCUAUGGGUUGUAAACUUCUUUUAUAUGGGAAUAAAAUGAUCCACGUGUGGGAUUUUGUAUGUACCAUAUGAAUAAGGACCGGCUAAUUCCGUGCCAGCAGCCGCGGUAAUACGGAGGAUCCGAGCGUUAUCCGGAUUUAUUGGGUUUAAAGGGAGCGUAGGUGGAUUGUUAAGUGAGUUGUGAAAGUUUGCGGCUCAACCGUAAAAUUGCAGUUGAAACUGGCAGUCUUGAGUACAGUAGAGGUGGGCGGAAUUCGUGGUGUAGCGGUGAAAUGCUUAGAUAUCACGAAGAACUCCGAUUGCGAAGGCAGUUCACUGGACUGCAACUGACACUGAGGCUCGAAAGUGUGGGUAUCAAACAGGAUUAGAGACCCUAGUAGUC